rnacentral:rRNA from 1 species
ACACGUGAGUCACCCGCCCUGAAGUGGGGGACAGCCCGGGGAAACUCGGAUUAAUACCGCAUGUGAUCGCAAGAUCAAAGGUGGCGCAAGCUGCCGCUUCAGGAUGGGCUCGCGGCCUAUCAGUUAGUUGGUGAGGUAACGGCUCACCAAGGCGAUGACGGGUAACUGGUCUGAGAGGAUGAUCAGUCACACUGGAACUGAGACACGGUCCAGACACCUACGGGUGGCAGCAGUCGAGAAUCAUUCACAAUGGGGGCAACCCUGAUGGUGCGACGCCGCGUGGAGGACGAAGGCCCUAGGGUCGUAAACUCCUGUCAUCAAGGAGUAAGGGCUUCACCAGUAACUGGGUGGGGCAUUGAUAGUACUUGAAGAGGAAGGGACGGCUAACUUCGUGCCAGCAGCCGCGGUAAUACGAAGGUCCCGAGCGUUGUUCGGAUUUACUGGGCGUAAAGAGUCUGUAGGCGGUUGGGUAAGUCAGAUGUGAAAUCCCGGGGCUCAACUCCGGAACUGCAUCCGAUACUGCCUGACUAGAGUGUUGGAGGGGAAUCUGGAAUUCUCGGUGUAGCAGUGAAAUGCGUAGAUAUCGAGAGGAACACUAGUGGCGAAGGCGAGAUUCUGGACAACUACUGACGCUGAGAGACGAAGGCCAGGGUAGCGAAAAGGAUUAGAUACCCUUGUAGUCCUGGCAGUAAACGUUGCACGCUUGGUGUGGGGGGAUUCGACCCCCUCCGUGCCGGAGCUAACGCGUUAAGCGUGCCGCCUGGGGAGUACGGUCGCAAGAUUAAAACUCAAAGAAAUUGACGGGGACCCGCACAAGCGGUGGAGCAUGUGGCUUAAUUCGAUGCAACGCGAAGAACCUUACCUGGGCUUGACAUGUUAGUCGUAGAUUUGUGAAAGCUUAUCGUCACUUCGGGUGGACUAUCACAGGUGCUGCAUGGCUGUCGUCAGCUCGUGUCGUGAGAUGUUUGGUUAAG